rnacentral:misc_RNA from 1 species
GUGAAUCAUCGAAUCUUUGAACGCACAUUGCGCCCCUUGGUAUUCCAUGGGGCAUGCCUGUUCGAGCGUCAUUUGUACCCUCAAGCUCUGCUUGGUGUUGGGUGUUUGUCCCGCCUUCGCGCGUGGACUCGCCUUAAAGUGAUUGGCAGCCGGAAUAAUUCUGGGGAACGCAGCACAACUGCAGCCUCCAUUUUACGCCGAGCGUCCAGUAAGCCUUUUUUCAACGUUUGACCUCGGAUCAGGUAGGGAUACCCGCUGAACUUAAGCAUAUCAAUAAGCGGAGGA